GACGAACGCUGGCGGCGGGCUUAACACAUGCAAGUCGAACGGAAAGGCACUGCUUUUGUGGGGUGCUCGAGUGGCGAACGGGUGAGUAACACGUGAGUAACCUGCCCUUGACUUUGGGAUAACUUCAGGAAACUGGGGCUAAUACCGGAUAGGAGCUCCUGCUGCAUGGAGGGGGUUGGAAAGUUUCGGCGGGUGGGGCUGGACUCGCGGCUUAUCAGCUUGUUGGUGGGGUAGUGGCUUACCAAGGCUUUGACGGGUAGCCGGCCUGAGAGGGUGACCGGCCACAUUGGGACUGCGAUACGGCCCAGACUCCUACGGGAGGCAGCAGUGGGGAAUAUUGCACAAUGGGCGGAAGCCUGAUGCAGCAACGCCGCGUGCGUGAUGACGGCCUUCGGGUUGUAAACCGCUUUCGCCUGUGACGAAGCGUGAGUGACGGUAAUGGGUAAAGAAGCACCGGCUAACUACGUG
rnacentral:rRNA from 1 species